rnacentral:sRNA from 1 species
CUCCUGGCUUCGCGGGGCCUGACUGCCGCAUCAGCCAUGCCGGUCCUGCGGUGGGCAUUGGCCUCACUGCACUGAGCAGCGGUGGCUUUCCCUGCAGACAUCGACGAGUGCCAGUCCUCGCCCUGUGCCUAUGGGGCCACGUGUGUGGAUGAGAUCAACGGGUAUCGCUGUAGCUGCCCACCCGGCCGAGCCGGCCCCCGGUGCCAGGAAGUGAUCGGGUUCGGAAGGUCCUGCUGGUCCCAGGGCACUCCAUUCCCACACGGAAGCUCCUGGGUGGAAGACUGCAACAGCUGCCGCUGCCUGGAUGGCCGCCGUGACUGCAGCAAGGUGUGGUGUGGAUGGAAGCCUUGUCUGCUGGCUGGCCAGCCCGAGGUCCUGAGCGCCCAGUGCCCGCCGGGGCAAAGGUGCCUGGAGAAGGCCCCAGGCCAGUGUCUGCGACCACCCUGUGAGGCCUGGGGGGAGUGCGGUGCAGAAGAGCCACCGAGCACCCCCUGCCUGCCACGCUCCGGCCACCUGGACAAUAACUGUGCCCGCCUCACCUUGCGUUUCAACCGUGACCACGUGCCCCAGGGCACCACGGUGGGCGCCAUUUGCUCCGGGAUCCGCUCCCUGCCAGCCACAAGGGCUGUGGCACGGGACCGCCUGCUGGUGUUGCUUUGCGACCGGGCGUCCUCGGGGGCCAGUGCUGUGGAGGUGGCCGUGUCCUUCAGCCCUGCCAGGGACCUGCCUGACAGCAGCCUGAUCCAGGGCGCGGCCCAUGCCAUCGUGGCCGCCAUCACCCAGCGGGGGAACAGCUCACUGCUCUUGGCUGUCACCGAGGUCAAAGUGGAGACGGUUGUUAUGGGCGGCUCUUCCACAGGUCUGCUGGUGCCCGUGCUGUGUGGUGCCUUCAGCGUGCUGUGGCUGGCGUGCGUGGUCCUGUGCGUGUGGUGGACACGCAAGCGCAGGAAAGAGCGGGAGAGGAGCCGGCUGCCGCGGGAGGAGAGCACCAACAACCAGUGGGCCCCGCUCAACCCCAUCCGCAACCCCAUCGAGCGGCCAGGGGGCCACAAGGAUGUGCUCUACCAGUGCAAGAACUUCACGCCGCCGCCGCGCAGGGCGGACGAGGCGUUGCCCGGGCCGGCCGGCCACGCGGGCGUCAGGGAGGAUGAGGAGGACGAGGAUCUGGGCCGCGGUGAGGAGGACUCCCUGGAGGCGGAGAAGUUCCUCUCACACAAAUUCACCAAAGAUCCUGGCCGCUCGCCGGGGAGGCCGGCCCACUGGGCCUCAGGCCCCAAAGUGGACAACCGCGUGGUCAGGAGCAUCAAUGAGGCCCGCUACACCGGCAAGGAGUAGGGGCGGCCGCCAGCUGGGCCGGGAUGCAGGGCCCUCGGUGGGAGCCAUGCCGUCUGCCGGACCCGGAGGCUGAGGCCAUGUGCAUAGUUUCUUUAUUUUGUGUAAAAAAACCACCAAAAACAAAAAACAAAUGUUUAUUUUCUAUGUUUCUUUAACCUUGUAUAAAUUAUUCAGUAACUGUCAGGCCGAAAACAAUGGAGUAUUCUCGGAUAGUUGCUAUUUUUGUAAAGUUUCCGUGCGUGGCACUCGCUGUAUGGCAGGAGAGAGCAAAGGGUGUCUGCAUCCUCACCAAAUCGUAGCGUUUGUUACCAGAGGUUGUGCACUGUUUACAGAAUCUUCCUUUUAUUCCUCACUCGGGUUUCUCUGUGGCUCCAGGCCAAAGUGCCGGUGAGACCCAUGGCUGUGUUGGUGUGGCCCACGGCUGUUGGUGGGACCCGUGGCUGAUGGUGUGGCCUGUGGCUGUUGGUGGGACUCGUGGCUGUCAGUGGGACCUGUGGCUGUCAGUGGGACCUACGGUGGUCGGUGGGACCCUGGUUACUGAUGUGGCCCCGGCCGCCGGCACGGCCCGUGGCUGUUGGCGCACCUGUGGUUGUUAGUGGGGCCUGAGGUCAUCGGCGUGGCCCAAGGCCGGCAGGUCAACCUUGCGCUUGCUGGCCAGUCCACCCUGCCUGCCGUCUGCUUCCUCCUGCCCAGAACGCCCGCUCCAGCGAUCUCUCCACUGUGCUUUCAGAAGUGCCCUUCCUGCUGCGCAGUUCUCCCAUCCUGGGACGGCGGCAGUAUUGAAGCUCGUGACAAGUGCCUUCACACAGACCCCUCGCAACUGUCCACGCGUGCCGUGGCACCUGGCGCUGCCCACCUGCCGGCCCCGGCCGCCCCUCCUCGUGAAAGUGCAUUUUUGUAAAUGUGUACAUAUUAAAGGAAGCACUCUGUAUAUUUGA